AACCAAUCAUCGCUCGCUACCAAACCGGAACGGGCGUGGAAAGCAAGAGCAUGCCGGGAGGGAGGGAGUGGGCGCUGCCGGAGUAGGAAGAAAGCGCGUACGCAGGACCAGCAUUCGGGACUGGAGCGGGGUCCGCGCCGCAGCGGCUGGCGCCAGGCACAAGAUGGCGGCCAUUGCUCCGAGGAGGUGCUGUCCCCGCCGCUCCGCAGGACUAUCCCGGCAAAGUCCCGACCGGCCGUGCCUGCCGUUCCCAGCGCAGCCCCUGGGCCUUCUGGGGCCGGACCACCUGAGACACGGCGUCUCUCCGGGCCGGAGCAGCGCGGGGCAUGCGGGACUCUAUUGUGAGGCAUAUGUUUAGAUGACCAAUAAUAGACAAUAGGUGCAUUAAUGUA